rnacentral:misc_RNA from 1 species
CCGAAUUGUCAACAAGAGUUGUUGCUGGUCCUCAAAACCAGGGGGCAUGUGCACGCUCUGUUCACACAUCCACUCACACCCUGUGCACCCUCUGUAGUUCUAUGGUCGGGGGGUUUGUCCUCCUGCUGUGGUUCUGCUUCUUUACACACACACACACUGUAACAAGUCUCAUGGAAUGUAUGCCGCGUUUAACGCAAUACAAUA